rnacentral:tRNA from 1 species
GCCCUUGUGGCACAAUGGUUAAGCACUUGGCUGCUAACCAAAAGGUUGGCGGUUCAAAUCCACUCAGAGGCU